AUUAUGAGAGUUUGAUCCUGGCUCAGGACGAACGCUGGCGGCGUGCCUAAUACAUGCAAGUCGAACGCUUUUUCUUUCACCGGA
rnacentral:rRNA from 1 species